UACGAAGGGUGCAAGCGUUACUCGGAAUUACUGGGCGUAAAGCGUGCGUAGGUGGUGAGUUAAGUCUGUCGUGAAAGCCCCGGGCUCAACCUGGGAAUGGCGAUGGAUACUGGCUCGCUAGAGUGCGGUAGAGGAGAGUGGAAUUCCGGGUGUAGUGGUGGAAUGCGUAGAGAUCCGGAGGAACACCAGCGGCGAAGGCGGCAUCCUGGACUGGUCCUGACACUCAGGAGCGAAAGCGUGGGGAGCGAUCCGG
rnacentral:rRNA from 1 species